CUUCUGUGUUGUUUUUUCUUCCGUUUCCGGAAAUUAAUCUGGAUUUUUUGUUCGACAGGUAGUGCUGGAGAUAUAUGAUUAUUAUCCUGGUUCAGAAGAUCUGAAUUGGAAGUUGUGAUUUAUUGUUCUUUCAUCGUCAAUCGGGACGUGCAUGGCGGAAUUACUGUGUUUAGACAUAUAAUUUCAGCAAAUAUGAUUCUCUGUUCACCGCUUCUGAGACGAUGAUAUGAAUGCUUCGCUUCGAAAUCCAGAUUUCGUUAGAUUUGGAUGGUUCUGUUAGCUGAUUUAUCUAAUUUCUAGAAGCAGAAGGAAAAUCUGGAUUGUAUGAGGAAGAACAGAGUACAGUGAACAGAAUUGAAGUUCGCCGAUUUGAAGAUUUGA